GAGAUGUCAUCAUUGGAAAGGUACUUAUGCAGAAUUGUGGCACAUUUCUUGUGGAAAUACUGACCAAGGACCAGAAAUUGUGGGUGGUUGCUGAGGCUCUGAACACCAUCUUUGAGCAUCUGGACCUGUUGUCAUGGAGAUCAGGGUAACAGACAAACAUCAGACCAUAUGGUACCACAGCUGACAGCUAAGAUUUAUCAACAGAAGAGAAGCCUAGGAGACCACCUUCCUAUCAGCAUGACAGCAAGGACAAAUCUGGUGCACUUCAUCAUGUAAUUAGAGUGUAGCACUUCAAGUACCAUUGUUUUCUGAUGUUCAGUCUGU